GCCCGCAUCAAGGUGGGGCUUCAGGCGGCGAAAUACCUCCUGCGCGUGUGGGGUGCCCGGAUAGAAACCUUCCUCGUGCAAGUCGAGGAUGUGGGUGCC
rnacentral:tRNA from 1 species